AUGGCAGAUCUAUCGAUAUAUCGCAAAGCACGCCACGCCACUGUUGCAAAGAUUAUAAACUGGGAUAGACCGGAACCUAGCGAAUCACAAAUAUAUUUUUUUCACCUCGGUUUGUUUGCCGCGGUGUUGUCUGAAUUUUUUCUCUUAUCUCUGGGCAUACAUAUAUUUUACUUGAUAUCUAGUAUUUUACAUCCUGUUGUGUUUAUACCAAUCGUAGAUUGCCGAGCAGUCGGCCUGAACGUUUUGGUUUUUAUCUUACACUCUUGCCCUUUGUUCUCGUUUUUCGUUUAUAUUAUUUAUUUGCUUGGUUUUCAUUUAGGUUAGUCAGUUUUAACGUUGGGUAGCAUAAGAGUUUCUCUUUUUUUAUUAUUUCUUUUAUUGUUUAUACUGACUGAAGUAUGAUAAAGUGUAUUUUCUUGUUUGUUAUUUGCGUGUCGUAAUGUUUGAAUAAUCUCAAAAAUGUUAAUAAAAAAAGUUUUCAAGUCCUUCCUUGGGUUCACAAAUUUCAAACUUUCCUGUUUACAAUUAGUGUAAUUAGUAGGGUGGGCCGUCAAAAAAUUUUCCUCGGAAUUGUUUGCGAAUAGCGAAGAUAUUUUUCAGGGCAAAAAUGACGAAAAUUCGUCCAAAUCGCAUCGAACAUUUUUUAAAUGUCCAAAGUCCCGAACAGUG
rnacentral:lncRNA from 1 species